rnacentral:rRNA from 1 species
UACGUAGGGUGCAAGCGUUAAUCGGAAUACUGGGCGUAAAGCGUGCGCAGGCGGUUUUGUAAGUCUGUCGUGAAAGCCCCGGGCUCAACCUGGGAAUUGCGAUGGAGACUGCAAGGCUUGAAUCUGGCAGAGGGGGGUAGAAUUCCACGUGUAGCAGUGGAAAUGCGUAGAGAUGUGGAGGAACACCAGUGGCGAAGGCGGCAUCCUGGACCGGCAUUGACGCUGAGGCGCGAAAGCCAGGGGAGCAAACGGG